CUCUAAGAGGAGGAGCUUACUCUAGAGAGAGAGAAGGAGGUUCGGCAAGAAGGCGGGAAGAAAGCGGCGAAGAAGCGGCGGAGAACGAGCCUCGUCGGAGUUGCGGGUCUUCGCCGAAUUCGCCAAAAUCAGUCAGCAAAAAGGCGAGAAACCUAUGCCGUUUGCUGUAAAAUUAUAUCGUCGAAGAGAUAACUCAACAAGGUUCGACGAGCGGCUAUAAGGGAAAUGAGGUAGCUGAAGAAUUAGCUUAAAUUACUGCUUGUAGCAUGUUUAGCAUAUUUUUAUUUAUGCGUGAAUCUAUGUAAUUUUGGAUAUGUUUAAGACGUUCAGUUAUAUCUUGCGAGAGAUGAUGUUCAUGUAAUUCAUUUUGUAAACGUCUUGAACAAUUUUAUGAUAAAUAAAGUAUUA